CAACCAGACUCAACAUCUGGACAUCACUCACCUCUGUCACACAUGUGCAGUCUCAGUGUCUCUGAUAGUGUUGAUCUCUGCUGCUGCUGCUGGAUUUCUGUUGAUUAUAUUUGCAGUCGGAAUCUGGUGCAUCUGCAGGAAACGUAAAAAAUUAGAUGUUAAUGCAGACCAGACCCAUGAGAAAGACAAAACUGAUUCAGCAUUGUGUAAACCAACAAAACGAAAGAAGAAAUCAAAGGAGCCUGUGUAUGAAAAUUUCAACUCAAAACGAUGUUUUUCUUCCUGACUGUAUCUAAUGGUUUUUUUGUUUUUUUUUUUUGUUUUUUUUGUCUUUUGCAACUCUCAUAAGUUGAUAUUGUUGUAUCUGAAAUUGUGUUGCUCUGUAUUAAUUUAAUUUAGUGCCGUAUAAUUUCACAAGUGCCGUAGCAUCCAGAAAUUCAACUAAAUAUUUGUAUCUUAACACGCAUGGAAAUUUACUAACUUUAUUAAAUAUUGAUCCCACCCUUCCUGUUUAAAAAGUAAACUGAACAUCAAUGCACAGUUGUUCACAGUAACUCACAUGUUCUGCUGGAUAUUUUGGCAAAUUCAACACAUCAUCGCCCUCUAGUGUCCAAGGCAGAAACUCACAUCUCUCUCAUAAUAGCUCUAAUUUUACUCGACACAGUGCGCUAUAAAUAGAUGCUGCAGUUCACACUGGGGAAGAACUGAAGAACCCAAUAUAAGAAAUUAGUAAUUAGUUCAUGGUGCUUCAACACUUUUGCAAAUCAUUCGUUUCGUUAUGAAUUCCAAUGGUGCACCGCUAGGGGGCGACGAUCACUGUGUGAACGCACGAACUAGUCUUGUGUGUUUGAUUUUUACCUUCUCGGAUCAGUUUUUAUACAUUUGUACUCAUUCAAUAACACAUUUGUUUAAUAAAAUGAAAGCUGUAGUUAAAAGUCCUUAUUGGACUGAUUAGCUCUUCAUAAAACAAACAAAAUAAGCCCGGAAAUUUAGCCUAAUAAAAUAGGCCUAUCACAAAUUAUAAAGACACUUCAUAUUUAAUGGUACUA